rnacentral:sRNA from 1 species
UUUUAACCCUGAUAGAAACGGCAUCCUUUUGUGAAGCGAUAGCGUAACAAAAGAUAUAGUGUAUAGCAGGACGAUGU